UUGUUUUUUUUUUUCAACUUAGACACAGUUGCGCUGCAAGUACAUGAACCAAUCAAAGGAAAUCCAGAAAGUCAGAAGUCACAUGAGGAUUUGGUUUAUUCAUCAGUUUCCACAAAAAGAAAAGCCAGCAAAAAAAGAACAGGGGCCACAGCAUCUGAAGAGCAAGAUGUCAUCUACACAGAAGUUAAUGUUCUUGGGGUGUGAAAAGUCUAAGCUAAUUUAUACGUUUCUGAUUGUUAUCUAAAGACUAAUUUUAAAAUGCACUUUAUUUUUUUCCAAAUUGUAUAUUUUGUAUGUAUGUACUGUUAUCCUGCCCUCAUUUGCUUAAAAGAAAAAUAUGUCUGUAUUUGUAUAAGCUCUUAGUAAACAAAAUAUAUAAAAGUAA